AUUGAACGCUGGCGGCAGGCCUAACACAUGCAAGUCGAAUGGUAACAGGAAACAGCUUGCUGUUUCGCUGACGAGUGGCGGACGGGUGAGUAAUGUCUGGGAAACUGCCUGAUGGAGGGGGAUAACUACUGGAAACGGUAGCUAAUACCGCAUAACGUCGCAAGACCAAAGAGGGGGACCUUCUGGCCCCUUGCCAUCAGAUGUGCCCAGAUGGGAUUAGCUAGUAGGUGGGGUAACGGCUCACCUAGGCGACGAUCCCUAGCUGGUCUGAGAGGAUGACCAGCCACACUGGAACUGAGACACGGUCCAGACUCCUACGGGAGGCAGCAGUGGGGAAUAUUGCACAAUGGGCGCAAGCCUGAUGCAGCCAUGCCGCGUGUAUGAAGAAGGCCUUCGGGUUGUAAAGUACUUUCAGCGGGGAGGAAGGGAGUAAAGUUAAUACCUUUGCUCAUUGACGUUACCCGCAGAAGAAGCACCGGCUAACUCCGUG
rnacentral:rRNA from 1 species